rnacentral:piRNA from 1 species
UGACCUCCAUGCAGUGACUGUCUGUCUGA